rnacentral:rRNA from 1 species
GACGAACGCUGGCGGCGUGCCUAAUACAUGCAAGUCGAACGCAGGGGGGACGGGUGAGUAACACGUGGGUAACCUCCCAUCAGAGGGGAUAACACUUGGAAACAGGUGCUAAACCGAUACUGAUGGAUGGACCCGCGGUGCAUUAGCUAGUUGGUGAGGUAACGGCUCACCAAGGCCACGAUGAAUAGCCGAGCGGGGAGGGUGAGCGGCCACACUGGAACUGGGAACCGGCCCAGACGCCUACGGGAGGCAGCAGUAGGGAAUCUUCGGCAAUGGGCGAAAGUCUGACCGAGCAACGCCGCGUGAGUGAAGAAGGUUUUCGGAUCGUAAAACUCUGUUGUUCGAGAAGCGGUAUCUAACCAGAAAGCAACGGCUAACUACGUGCCAGCAGCCGCGGUAAUAC